GUAAAUAUAAUUUAAUGGUAAAAUGUAUGUUUUUAGGUGCAUAUUAUCUAAGUUCAAAUCUUAGUAUUUACACCA
rnacentral:tRNA from 1 species